CGCCUGUUUAUCAAAAACAUGGCUCUUUGUUAAUAUAAUAUAAGGAGUCGGACCUGCCCAGUGAUAAGAAUUUAACGGCCGCGGUACUCUGACCGUGCAAAGGUAGCAUAAUCAUUUGCCCUAUAAUUGAGGGCUGGAAUGAACGGUUUGACAAGAGUAAUACUGUCUCUUUAAGAUUUCUCAAAAUUUAAUUUAUAGGUCAAGAAUCCUAGAUAAAAUUAAAAGACAAGAAGACCCUAUCGAGCUUUAAAAAAGAAUAUGAAAUAAAGUUAAUAUAUUAUUAUAUUUAAAGUCAUUUAAUAUUUUGGUUGGGGCGACUAAGGAACAUUUAAAGCUUCUUAUUUUAUUUUAAAACCAAUAAGUUUUGAUCCAGCUAGAUUUGCUGAUUAAAAAAAUUAGUUACCGUAGGGAUAACAGCAUAAUCUCUCUUAAGAGUUCAUAUCGAAAGAGAGGUUUGUGACCUCGAUGUUGGACUAGAAUAUCCUAAAGAUGCAGAAGUCUUUGAGGGUUGGUCUGUUCGACCAUUAAAAUUCUACGUGAUCUGAGUUCAGACCGG
rnacentral:rRNA from 1 species